rnacentral:rRNA from 1 species
CAGGGGGGGCAAGCGUUGUUCGGAAUUACUGGGCGUAAAGGGCCAGUAGGCGGCCAACUAAGUCACACGUGAAAUCCCCAGGCUUAACCUGGGAACUGCGUGUGAUACUGGAUGGCUUGAAUUCGGGAGAGGGAUGCAGAAUUCCAGGUGUAGCGGUGAAAUGCGUAGAUAUCUGGAGGAAUACCGGUGGCGAAGGCGGCAUCCUGGACCGACAUUGACGCUGAACGGCGAAAGCUAGGGGAGCAAACGGGAUUAGAUACCCCGGUAGUCCUAGCCCUAAACGAUGAAUGCUUGGUGUGGCGGGUAUCGAUCCCUGCCGUGCCGAAGCUAACGCAUUAAGCAUUCCGCCUGGGGAGUACGGUCGCAAGGCUG